UGUCAAUUGGGGAAUCUUGCUCAAUGUAUCUCCACAUUCAAAGUGACAUUUCGAAGACUGAUACAAUUCGUUAAGGAUGUAAAUUCGAUAAAAAUCCACUUUUAUUGCACUUGAGAAAUGGGAGGCCAAACUGAAGCCCGCUGAAAGUUAGAGGAACUUCAGAAUUCUACCGGCAUAAUCAUUGCCACACGCAGAACACAAGGUACCAAUACCACUACCACAGCAUAACGGAGUGCUCUACAGUGAGGUAGCUGAAUAAGGAGAGGGUUCUUUUUGGGAUCGAGUUUCCAUUUCAACUUGUUGAUGGUCUGAAUGGCAAAAGAAGCAAGGAGAAGAGGGAACAUUUUCCAACCACAGCCACCACCACCACCACCACCAACAGUAACACGGUAACAGCCAGCGGGUUUGGGGACUUUCAGGGUAUCACUUCAAGUGGGAGAGCGACGACUUACUCAUCUCUACCCAGUAUAACACGGUAUGUCCUGUCGGCCAAGCACGAAGUCUGAGGAUAUUAAUACCCCAAGGACAAGGAAGGACAGGAUCCGAAUCCGAAUCCGAGUUCUUAUCAGCCGGUUUCAUGCUAACAUACUUCAUAAUUCGUGACAUUUUCCCAAGACUUCAUCGGACUCUUUCUCAACCUUUUUUUACGAUUUCGCCCGAAUUUCUUCAUGCGAUAUCAUGACGAUCCGAUUUUCCAUCCUGGCGGUACAGCCCCGCUUCGAACCUGACAUAGUGCUCCUUGAAUUGAAUUGCUCAUAAUGGUUCUUGAUCUCCUGCUGACAGGAUCUGAGCAUUAUCUCACUCACUCACUCACUCGGCCAAAUCAUCCAUGUCGUCAUAUGGAACCUAAUUGAUCCACCCUCCACAUUCCAGGCUCUAAAAAGCUCAAACGUGGCAAAGCUCAUCUCUCCCUUUGAAAGCCAAUUGAUCGGGAUAUUGGAAGUUGUGGCUUCCUCAAUGCCAAAAGAACUGGGUGUGUAAGCCAAGCCACCAAGUUCCCUUAUGGAGCACCAAUCCCACCCAAUGGACUUUGGGGGAACGCCAAGUCAAGCAACAGGCCUCACGAAUCACUGUUAAAAAGUUCACAUCUUUAUGUGAAAAAAAAACCUGUUUAUUGUCAUGUGUUCAAGUGGGCAAUUUCAACAAUGACAAAAGAUGCGAUAUUUGGGAAUUUGAAAUGGAAAAAGUAAAGUAGUAGUCACCUGGAGUAU